AGAUAACUCACAUUUCUUUUCUUCUUUCUUAUUCUUAUUUCUUCUCGUUUCUUCUUCCUUCUUCUACUUUUCCUCUCUUCUUCCUCUGUGAGAGUUCGAGUGAUCAAAUUGAGAGUUGAUAGAGAGAUUUUGAUUACUGAAGCUAUUCAGAUGAUGAAGCAGGUGUUGUCGAUGUAAUUAGGAAGGAGGAUAUUAGAGAUUGGUAAGACUUUAUGAUGAAUCAGAGAGAAGCAGAAUUAGGUUUUUGAGAUUGAUGUUGAGUGCAUGAUGAAACUGAUAGGUGAUUCGGGUUGUUGUUAGAUGGAGAUCGAGAAGGGUUAUUGUAUGACUGAUCCGGAAGAGUCGUGUUAGUGAAAAAAUACUGAACUAGGGUUUGUAAGAAAUUCAGAGAGGCAGUAGAAGAUGAAAUUGAAUCUUUGGAAGAUUAAUUGGAGAUGGGUUUGACGUGAAUUAGAGUAUUUGAAUGAAGCAGGGUUGUGCUAGCUGUGAAGAUUGAUUCAAUUUAAGAAUUAUGGUAUGUCCCGUUCUUCCCCAAAUUGAGAAAUUUGGGUUUCUUAUUGAAAAUCUUGGUUAAGAAGGAGUUAACGGAUGGGUUUUGAUGAACAAGAAGUGAAGAGGAAGAUUUUGAUGCUAAUUUGCAGAUCCAGUUACUGAGAAGACUUCAAUUUCAGAGUUGAGGUAAUUGUCUUCCUCUGUAAAGUUAGUAAGAUUAUUAUCUUAUUGUUGUGUUUCAAGUCGAUGUUGUUGUAUCUGGUUGGUUCUUUGCACCUAGUUUUGGUGUAGCAGUUAUAUUUCGAUUCAUCCUGUUCUUCCAAGGAUUUCAUAAUUGGACGUUGAACCCAUUUCAUAUGAUGGGAGUUGCCGGUGUAUUGGGUGAUGCUCUCUUGGAAUGAAUGGGCUUUCACGCACGAAUCCAGCGACCGAGGAAGGAGCACUUUGCUUUCCAACCGGCUAAGGUAUUCCGAUUGACCCACCCCGGAAUCGAGGAGUAGGGACGGGAAGAUCUAAGCAAGCUUCGACUAUAUGAGUGACAUCUACAGAAUUUACUUACGCUUUGCGCGGUCAUAAACAGUGGUCUUGAUUUUGAUUAUAUCACUAUGAUGGUGAUGAAUGAAGAUUAUGGAGUUUAUUUUGUUUCUUGAGAUGAUGAUUGAACUAUGAGUUGUUGGAAUAUUUUGGUUGUUGCAGUAAUGAGAGUUAUACCCAUGAUCUGAGUUCAUAUGAAUUACAAUUAUGGGGAUUAAUGAUGAAUGAGUUUUAAUGAAAUUGAGAUUAUGAGAUGAGUCGCAACUGAGGUUGAAUUGCAGGCUGGGAAGAUGUGAUGGGACUGUUUCUGUAGUUAUAUGUGGUUUUAAUAAUAACGGGUUUGAGUAACUGUGGUUAAUGGUUUGAGUUUGAUCUUAACUGAAACUGCAAGAGGUAUAUGAAUUGAUGAAGGUGUUGCCUGAGUUGAAGUUAGUGAAUGGAGAUGUUGUUAUGGUUGCAGCUAGUGAUAGUUUUAAUAGAAGCUUGUUGUUGAAAGUACUGAGUUUGGUGGUAUUGUAGACUAUAAGAAAUAAGUUCUAAAGAAUAUGUUUUGGUGUGUGUUGGUGGCUGAUUGGAUAUACAGCUGAGAUUACUCUGCUUUGCAGAAGAGUUGUAGUUACUGGAGUUGGUUAUGCUAAUGGUAAGCCAGUUAGGGAACAAUCUUGCAAUUUGGGGAGACUAGUGAUUAGGUUGGUUUAGUUGGGAACCUGAAGUUGCAAAAUAGUGAAUAUAGAGUUGUAGGUAGUCGUUGUUGUGAAAAGCUUAAAACUGCUAUUGCUGUUAGUCUAUAUUAACGACAAUCGAUUCAAAGGAUGAACUGGUGGAUCAUGGAUCUCGAGGUAGGCGUGGCUUGUCAAAAGAGUUUCAGAGACAAACCAGAGUUGCGCAGCGAAAUCUUCAAGGAGUUGACUCUGUUAAUUAGUUAACUUCUGCUAUGUUUAUUAUGUUGUAUAUUCUGUUUGUAAACUAAAUGACUAUUGUAUAUGUAUCAUUUGAGAGGAGUUCUUAUUUAUAUAUUUCUUAGCGGGGUUAGUUCUUAUGUAGCAUAUUUCUUAAUUGAAUAUUUAAGUAAAUGAUUUAGAUUC